CUACGUGCCAGCAGCCGCGGUAAUACGGAGGGUGCGAGCGUUAAUCGGAAUAACUGGGCGUAAAGGGCACGCAGGCGGUGACUUAAGUGAGGUGUGAAAGCCCCGGGCUUAACCUGGGAAUUGCAUUUCAUACUGGGUCGCUAGGGUACUUUAGGGAGGGGUAGAAUUCCACGUGUAGCGGUGAAAUGCGUAGAGAUGUGGAGGAAUACCGAAGGCGAAGGCAGCCCCUUGGGAAUGUACUGACGCUCAUGUGCGAAAGCGUGGGGAGCAAACAGGAUUAGAUACCCUGGUAGUCCACGCUGUAAACGAUGUCGAUUUGGGGGUUGAGCUUUGAGCUUGGCGCCCGUAGCUAACGUGAUAAAUCGACCGCCUGGGGAGUACGGCCGCAAGGUUAAAACUCAAAUGAAUUGACGGGGGCCCGCACAAGCGGUGGAGCAUGUGGUUUAAUUCGAUGCAACGCGAAGAACCUUACCUACUCUUGACA
rnacentral:rRNA from 1 species